rnacentral:rRNA from 1 species
ACAAGACUUGAUGCUGGCCGUAAUGGCAUGUGCUCGGUCUUACCUCAAUCCAUUAACACCUGUGCACUUUCAAAGUUGUAGUCCUCCGUAAUGGGAGCUGUAUCUUGUAAUGAGGUACUGGGACUACGCUUUGUCUUAUCACAAACCAUUACUAUUGUCAUGUAGAAUGUCAUUAGCCUAAGGGCUUAAUAUGAAACAACUUUCAACAACGGAUCUCUUGGCUCUCGCAUCGAUGAAGAACGCAGCGAAAUACGAUAAGUAAUGUGAAUUGCGGAAUUCAGUGAAUCAUCGAAUCCUUGAACGCACCUUGCACUCCUUGGUAUUCCGAGGAGUAUGCCUGUUUGAGUGUCAUUAAAUCAUCAAAUUGCUUUUGCUUUUGUGAAGGUUGAUUUGGAAUUGGAGCUUGCUGGUCCUUACGGAUUGGCUUCUCUCAAAUGCAUUAGCUGGACUUGUAUCUGCAGCGUUACGUGUGGUGUGAUAAUAUCUUCACUGCAUAGCUCAGAAUGAAGAUUGGCUUCUAAUCGUCCGUCACUGGACAACUUUUGACAUUCUGACCUCAAAUCAGGUAGGACUACCCGCUGAACUUAAGCAUAUCAAUAA